rnacentral:rRNA from 1 species
GUGCCAGCCGCCGCGGUAAUACGGAGGAGGCAAGCGUUAUCCGGAAUGAUUGGGCGUAAAGCGUUCGUAGGUGGCUAUUCAAGUCUGCUGUCAAAGACAGAAGCUCAACUUCUGAAAGGCAGUGGAAACUGAGUAGCUGGAGUGCGGUAGGGGCAGAGGGAAUUCCCGGUGUAGCGGUGAAAUGCGUAGAGAUCGGGAAGAACACCGGUGGCGAAAGCGCUCUGCUGGGCCGCAACUGACACUGAGGGACGAAAGCUAGGGGAGCGAAUGGGAUUAGAUACCCCCGUAGUCC